UACGUAGGGUGCAAGCGUUGUCCGGAAUUAUUGGGCGUAAAGAGCUCGUAGGCGGUCUGUCGCGUCGGAUGUGAAAAUCCAGGGCUUAACCCUGGACCUGCAUUCGAUACGGGCAGACUAGAGUUCGGUAGGGGAGGACUGGAAUUCCUGGUGUAGCGGUGAAAUGCGCAGAUAUCAGGAGGAACACCGGUGGCGAAGGCGGAUCUCUGGGCCUUACCUGACGCUCAGGUGCGAAAGCUAGGGGAGCGAACAGG
rnacentral:rRNA from 1 species